rnacentral:rRNA from 1 species
CCUACGGGAGGCAGCAGUGAGGAAUAUUGGUCAAUGGACGAGAGUCUGAACCAGCCAAGUAGCGUGAAGGAUGACUGCCCUAUGGGUUGUAAACUUCUUUUAUAUGGGAAUAAAACGUUCCACGUGUGGGAUUUUGUAUGUACCAUAUGAAUAAGGAUCGGCUAACUCCGUGCCAGCAGCCGCGGUAAUACGGAGGAUGCGAGCGUUAUCCGGAUUUAUUGGGUUUAAAGGGUGCGUAGGCGGAGCGUUAAGUCAGUGGUAAAAUUGAGGGGCUCAACCCCUUCCCGCCAUUGAAACUGGCGAGCUUGAGUGGAAGAGAAGUAUGCGGAAUGCGUGGUGUAGCGGUGAAAUGCAUAGAUAUCACGCAGAACCCCGAUUGCGAAGGCAGCAUGCCGGCUUCCUACUGACGCUGAAGCACGAAAGCGUGGGGAUCGAACAGGAUUAGAUACCCCUGUAGUC